rnacentral:rRNA from 1 species
UGUUGUCGUCAGCUCGUGUCGUGAGAUGUGGUUAAGUCCCGCAACGAGCGCAACCCCUGUGGUUAGUUGCCAGCAAGUAGCGUUGGGCACUCUAGCCAGACUGCCGGUGAUAAAUCGGAGGAAGGUGGGGACGACGUCAAAUCAUCAUGCCCUUUAUGUCCUGGGCUACACACGUACUACAAUGGCCGUUACAACGGGAAGCGAAGGAGCAAUCCGGAGCAAAUCCCUUAAAGGCGGUCCCAGUUCAGAUUGUGGGCUGAAACUCGCCCACAUGAAGGCGGAAUUGCUAGUAAUUGCAGAUCAGCAUGCUGCAGUGAAUACGUUCCCGGGCCUU